rnacentral:rRNA from 1 species
GCUCAGAACGAACGCUGGCGGCGUGUCUUAAGCAUGCAAGUCGAACGAAAACCAUGGAGCUUCAGCUUGCUGAAGUUCCGGGGGACAGUGGCGAACGGGUGAGUAACACGUAGGUGAUCUGCCCCAAAGUGCGGGAUAGCUUAUGGAAACAUAGGGUAAUACCGCAUGUGAUCCGAGGUUUAGAUGUCUCGGAUGAAAGGCGCAAUUGCGUCGCUUUGGGAUGAGCCUGCGGUCCAUUAGUUAGUUGGUGAGGUAACUGCUCACCAAGACGAUGAUGGAUAGCCGGCCUGAGAGGGCGAACGGUCACACUGGGACUGAGACACGGCCCAGACUCCUACGGGAGGCAGCAGCUAAGAAUAGUCCGCAAUGGGGGAAACCCUGACGGUGCGACGCCGCGUGGGUGAUGAAGGCCUGACGGUUGUAAAGCCCUUUUCUCAACGAAGAAUAAGGUGGGGAGUGGAAUGCCCCAUCGAUGACGUUAGUUGAGGAAGAAGCCCCGGCCAAUUACGUGCCAGCAGCCGCGGUAACACGUAAGGGGCGAGCGUUGUUCGGAAUUAUUGGGCGUAAAGGGCGCGUAGGCGGUAUAGCAAGCUUGGUGUAAAAGGCUCGGGCUCAACCCGAGUAAUGCGCUGGGAACUGCUAUACUAGAGUCCUGGAGAGGAAGCAGGAAUUCCUGGUGGAGGGGUGAAAUCUGUAGAUAUCAGGAAGAACACCAGUUGCGAAGGCGAGCUUCUGGCCAGAGACUGACGCUGAGGCGCGAAAGCGUGGGGAGCGAACAGGAUUAGAUACCCUGGUAGUCCACGCCGUAAACGAUGUGCACUAGGUGUAGGGAGCGUUGAGUUCUCUGUACCGCAGCUAACGCGUUAAGUGCACCGCCUGGGGAGUAUGCCCGCAAGGGUGAAACUC